rnacentral:rRNA from 1 species
GACGAACGCUGGCGGCGUGCUUAACACAUGCAAGUCGAGCGGUAAGGCCCUUUCGGGGGUACACGAGCGGCGAACGGGUGAGUAACACGUGGGUGACCUGCCCUCAGCUCUGGGAUAAGCCUGGGAAACCGGGUCUAAUACUGGAUAUGACUCCAUGACGCAUGUUGUGGGGUGGAAAGCCUUGUGCGGCUGAGGAUGGGCCCGCGGCCUAUCAGCUUGUUGGUGGGGUGAGGCCUACCAAGGCGACGACGGGUAGCCGGCCUGAGAGGGCGACCGGCCACACUGGGACUGAGACACGGCCCAGACUCCUACGGGAGGCAGCAGUGGGGAAGUCUUGCGCAAUGGGCGAAAGCCUGACGCAGCGACGCCGCGUGAGGGAUGACGGCCUCGG